rnacentral:rRNA from 1 species
CUAGCGUCGGACGGGUGAGUAAUGUAUGGGGAUCUGCCUGAUGGCGGGGGAUAACUACUGGAAACGGUAGCUACUACCGCAUACCAUCAGAUGAACCCCUAUGGGAUUAGCUUGUAGGUGAGGUAACGGCUCACCUAGGCUACGAUCCCUAGCUGGUCUGAGAGGAUGAUCAGCCACACUGGGACUGAGACACGGCCCAGAGUCCUACGGGAGGCAGCAGUGGGGAAUAUUGCACAAUGGGCGAAAGCCUGAUGCAGCAAUGCCGCGUGUAUGAAGAAGGCCUUCGGGUUGUAAAGUACUUUCAGUCGGGAGGCGUUACCGACAGAAGAAGCACCGGCUAACUCCGUGCCAGCAGCCGCGGUAAUAC